rnacentral:sRNA from 1 species
AUCUCGCUAUCCCUGCGCUCGACUAGCGGGUGAGUGUGGACCCUGGCGGGAUAGCGGAGUGCCCAGGGCGCGUACGGGGUCUUCGCGCCUGUCCGCCAGGACUCGCCUGUCCUCCCUGCUCGCCUCCCAGUCCACGAAUAGCUCAGGGAUGAGCCAUCUGAUCGUGACUCUUAUGCAUGAAAAUCUGAGCACCCUGGCGAGCAGGGGUCCUGCUCAAGUCUUCUGUGGUGUGAACGAAAGAUUUUGCAAAGUCUCCCACGUUGACCUUGCUGUCACAUCAAGCUUCUGGGAACUUGGCAGACGCAGAUUAGAGAGACUCACCAGCGAGCGUCAUUGUUGUCUUUCUGGGAACUCAUUCCCAUGAGAUCAGAACCUCUUCGAAAGAAGAAGAAGGUAGAUCCUAAAAAAGACCAAGAAGCAAAGGAGCGCUUGAAAAGGAAGAUCCGAAAACUGGAAAAGGCUGCUCAAGAGCUAAUUCCUAUUGAAGAUUUUAUUACCCCUCUAAAGUUCUUGGAUAAAGCAAGAGAGCGGCCUCAGGUGGAGCUCACCUUUGAGGAGACUGAGAGGAGAGCUCUGCUUCUGAAGAAGUGGUCUUUGUACAAGCAGCAAGAGCAUAAGAUGGAGAGGGACACCAUCAGGGCUAUGCUAGAAGCCCAGCAGGAAGCUCUGGAGGAACUGCGACUGGAGUCCCCGAAACUCCAUGCUGAGGCCAUCAAGCGGGAUCCUAACCUGUUCCCCUUUGAGAAGGAAGGGCCACAUUACACACCACCGAUUCCUAACUACCAGCCCCCUGAAGGCAGGUACAAUGACAUCACCAAGGUGUACACACAAGUGGAGUUUAAGAGAUAGACUUGCAGGCUGCUAUCCUUAACAUGCUGCCCCUGAGAGUAGGAAUGACCAAGGUUCAAGUCUGCUUUCCACAGAAGCAGGCAUACUGUUAAUAAAUACUGGUUU